GAUGAACGCUGGCGGCGUGCCUAAUACAUGCAAGUCGAACGAGUUCUGAUUAUUGAAAGGUGCUUGCAUCUUGAUUUAAUUUUGAACGAGUGGCGGACGGGUGAGUAACACGUGGGUAACCUGCCCUUAAGUGGGGGAUAACAUUUGGAAACAGAUGCUAAUACCGCAUAAAUCCAAGAACCGCAUGGUUCUUGGCUGAAAGAUGGCGUAAGCUAUCGCUUUUGGAUGGACCCGCGGCGUAUUAGCUAGUUGGUGAGGUAACGGCUCACCAAGGCAAUGAUACGUAGCCGAACUGAGAGGUUGAUCGGCCACAUUGGGACUGAGACACGGCCCAAACUCCUACGGGAGGCAGCAGUAGGGAAUCUUCCACAAUGGACGCAAGUCUGAUGGAGCAACGCCGCGUGAGUGAAGAAGGCUUUCGGGUCGCAAAACUCUGUUGUUGGAGAAGAAUGGUCGGCAGAGUAACUGUUGUCGGCGUGACGGUAUCCAACCAGAAAGCCACGGCUAACUACGUGCCAGCAGCCGCGGUAAUACGUAGGUGGCAAGCGUUAUCCGGAUUUAUUGGGCGUAAAGCGAGCGCAGGCGGUUUUUUAAGUCUGAUGUGAAAGCCCUCGGCUUAACCGAGGAAGUGCAUCGAAAACUGGAAAACUUGAGUGCAGAAGAGGACAGUGGAACUCCAUGUGUAGCGGUGAAAUGCGUAGAUAUAUGGAAGAACACCAGUGGCGAAGGCGGCUGUCUGGUCUGUAACUGACGCUGAGGCUCGAAAGCAUGGGUAGCGAACAGG
rnacentral:rRNA from 2 species